rnacentral:rRNA from 1 species
GAAUCCCGUCUUUGGUACGGACCCCCAGGGCUUCUGUGAUGCGCUCUCGAAGAGUCGAGUUGUUUGGGAAUGCAGCUCAAAAUGGGUGGUGAACUCCAUCUAAAGCUAAAUAUUGGCGAGAGACCGAUAGCGAACAAGUACCGUGAGGGAAAGAUGAAAAGCACUUUGGAAAGAGAGUGAAACAGUACGUGAAAUUGUUGAAAGGGAAACGCUUAAAGUCAGUCGCGUCCGCCGAGACUCAGCCUCGCUCCGGCUUGGUGUAUUUCUCGGUCGACGGGUCAGCGUCAAUUUCGCCCCUCGGAUAAUGGCAAUGGAAAGGUGGCACCUUUGCGGGUGUGUUAUAGUCCUUUGUCGCAUGCGAGGGGUGGGAUUGAGGAACUCAGCACGCACGCCCUCUGGGGUGUGUCGGGGCCAAGGCCCACGCCACGUGCUUAGGAUGCUGGCGUAAUGGCUUUAAACGACCCGUCUUGAAACACGGACCAAGGAGUCUAACAUGCCCGCGAGUGUUCGGGUGGAAAACCCGUGCGCGUAAUGAAAGUGAAAGUUGGGACCUUCGUCGUGAAGGGCACCGACGCCCGGACCAGACCUUCUGUGACGGAUCUGCGGUGGAGCGUGCAUGUUGGGACCCGAAAGAUGGUGAACUAUGCCUGAAUAGGGUGAAGCCAGAGGAAACUCUGGUGGAGGCUCGUAGCGAUUCUGACGUGCAAAUCGAUCGUCAAAUUUGGGUAUAGGGGCGAAAGACUAAUCGAACCAUCUAGUAGCUGGUUCCUGCC